rnacentral:rRNA from 1 species
CGGUAAUACGUAGGGUGCAAGCGUUAAUCGGAAUUACUGGGCGUAAAGCGUACGCAGGCGGCUUUGCAAGACAGGUGUGAAAUCCCCGGGCCUAACCUGGGAACUGCAUUUGUGACUGCAUGGCUAGAGUCUGUCAGAGGGGGGUGGAAUUCCACGUGUAGCAGUGAAAUGCGUAGAGAUGUGGAAGAACACCGAUGGCGAAGGCAGCCCCCUGGGAUGAGACUGACGCUCAUGUACGAAAGCGUGGGGAGCAAACAGGAUUAGAUACCCUGGUAGUCCACGCCCUAAACGAUGUCUACUAGUUGUCGGAGGGUAACUCCUUCGGUAACGCAGCUAACGCGUGAAGUAGACCGCCUGGGGAGUACGGUCGCAAGAUUAAA